UCCCAGCGCCAUUCUCCAGGCUGCUCUGUGUCCCAGCGGCUGACCUGCAGGGACCCCGUCCCCAGGGUCUUCCAGAUCUGCCAGGGAGUGGUUCUGGCAUGCCAGGGACAAGGCAGGCGCUGGAGGUGGGGUGCGAUGGAGGAGGAAGGUGGGAGGACACAAAUGACGUGGCCCCUCAGCCGAGCAGGCAGCUUUCGGCCUCACCUGGUCAGCCCCGGGCUCAGCGGCGUCACUAAAGUGUCACUAUAUUACAACUGAAGAGUUCCCUGUGCACACAACCGUACUCAGAGGUUCAGGCUAAGUAAAAGUGGUCUCUCUCUCUCUCUCUCUCUCUUAUCUCCACCCCACCCCAGUCUAGUCAGGUCAUCCAUGCAACCCACAAGCCUCAUCCCAGUGUACAAGGGAGAGAAGCAAACACCUUUCCUAUCUAGGAAAUCAAGGCUGGAAUUUAAGGACCUUAACUUAAGGUGACAGAAUCAUUUUCCUUUGGAUCGUCGCCAGGACCACAGAGGUGACCCCCAGCUCCUGCUCGUCACGAGCAGAUGCUCUCGGGAAACGACACGACAGAGCACACUGAGACAGACGUCCAGGCCCUUCAGCUCGCAAAGAGCAGAGUCCAGUCCAGAACCACAAGCCAUGGACAGGCGCAAACCUGCAUGCUACCCCAUGCCCGCACUUCUGGGGGUUUAGCUAAAACAGCUGGAAUAACACAGUAACAUAGUCACUAAUGUUUCAAUUAUUACCCCCCCCAAAAAACAUGAAAAAUAAAAAAC